rnacentral:rRNA from 1 species
ACUCCUACGGGAGGCAGCAGUGAGGAAUUUUGCGCAAUGGGGGAAACCCUGACGCAGCAACGCCGCGUGAGUGAUGAAGGCCUUCGGGUCGUAAAGCUCUGUCAAGUGGGAAGAACCCUUCCGGGUAUAAUACACCUGGGAACUGACGGUACCACUGAAGGAAGCACCGGCUAACUCCGUGCCAGCAGCCGCGGUAAUACGGAGGGUGCAAGCGUUAUUCGGAAUUACUGGGCGUAAAGGGCGCGUAGGCGGCCUUGUAAGUCAGUUGUGAAAGCCCGGGGCUCAACCCCGGAAGUGCGACUGAAACUGCAGGGCUUGAGUAUGGUAGAGGGAAGUGGAAUUCCAGGUGUAGCGGUGAAAUGCGUAGAUAUCUGGAGGAACACCGGUGGCGAAGGCGACUUCCUGGACCAAUACUGACGCUGAGGCGCGAAGGCGUGGGUAGCAAACAGGAUUAGAAACCCCAGUAGUCC